GGUAUGAGCUUUAUGUGAUUCAGUGGUGAUUCUCGAGAAUGAUUUCAACUGUUUCUGGAUGCUGUAGAGUCUUGUCAUCGAGAACUUGCUGGCUCUGUUUCUGGAUAUUCAAACUAUUGGUGAUAGAAAAACAUGCUAAAGCUUGCAAAUCCUAGAUGACAAGACUCUACGACAUCAAGAAACAGUUAAAAUUCUCGAUGACAAGACUCUACAACAUCAACAAAGGUUCUGGCCAA